GACGAACGCUGGCGGCGUGCUUAACACAUGCAAGUCGAACGGAAAGGCCCUGCUUUUGUGGGGUGCUCGAGUGGCGAACGGGUGAGUAACACGUGAGUAACCUGCCCUCGACUUUGGGAUAACUUGAGGAAACUGGGGCUAAUACCGGAUAGGAGCUCCUGCUGCAUGGUGGGGGUUGGAAAGUUUCGGCGGUUGGGGAUGGACUCGCGGCUUAUCAGCUUGUUGGUGGGGUUGUGGAUUACCAAGGCUUUGACGGGUAGCCGGACUGAGAGGGUGACCGGCCACAUUGGGACUGAGAUACGGCCCAGACUCCUACGGGAGGCAGCAGUGGGGAGUAAUGCAUGAUGGACGGAAGCCUGAUGCAGCAACGCCGCGUGCGGGAUGACGGACUUCGGGUUGUAAGCCGCUUUCGCCUGUGACGAAGCGUAAGUGACGGUAAUGGGUAAAGAAGCACCGGCUAACUACGUG
rnacentral:rRNA from 1 species